AUGAACGCUGGCGGCGUGCCUUAUACCUGCAAGUCGAGCGAACGGACGAGAAGCUUGCUUCUCUGAUGUUAGCGGCGGACGGGUGAGUAACACGUGGAUAACCUACCUAUAAGACUGGGAUAACUUCGGGAAACCGGAGCUAAUACCGGAUAAUAUUUUGAACCGCAUGGUUCAAAAGUGAAAGACGGUCUUGCUGUCACUUAUAGAUGGAUCCGCGCUGCAUUAGCUAGUUGGUAAGGUAACGGCUUACCAAGGCAACGAUGCAUAGCCGACCUGAGAGGGUGAUCGGCCACACUGGAACUGAGACACGGUCCAGACUCCUACGGGAGGCAGCAGUAGGGAAUCUUCCGCAAUGGGCGAAAGCCUGACGGAGCAACGCCGCGUGAGUGAUGAAGGUCUUCGGAUCGUAAAACUCUGUUAUUAGGGAAGAACAUAUGUGUAAGUAACUGUGCACAUCUUGACGGUACCUAAUCAGAAAGCCACGGCUAACUACGUG
rnacentral:rRNA from 1 species